GUCAAUUCCAACACUCCCACACCUGGCCCGAUCACAUGGAGUAGAGUUCUCGCACAGUCAAUUCCAACACUCCCACACCUGGCCCGAUCACAUGGAGUAGAGUUCUCGCACAGUCAAUUCCAACACUCCCACACCUGGCCCGAUCACACCAAGGUUAUUUAACUAACGUAUUGGCUAUUUUGACAUGUCAUAUUUCAUUUAACG